rnacentral:rRNA from 1 species
GCAUAUCAAUAAGCGGAGGAAAAGAAACCAACAGGGAUUGCCCCAGUAACGGCGAGUGAAGCGGCAACAGCUCAAAUUUGAAAUCUGGCUCUCGGGCCCGAGUUGUAAUUUGUAGAGGAUGCUUUUGGUGAGGUGCCUUCCGAGUUCCCUGGAACGGGACGCCAUAGAGGGUGAGAGCCCCGUCUGGUUGGACGCCGAACCUCUGUAAAGCUCCUUCGACGAGUCGAGUAGUUUGGGAAUGCUGCUCUAAAUGGGAGGUAUAUGUCUUCUAAAGCUAAAUACCGGCCAGAGACCGAUAGCGCACAAGUAGAGUGAUCGAAAGAUGAAAAGAACUUUGAAAAGAGAGUUAAACAGUACGUGAAAUUGUUGAAAGGGAAGCGCUUGUGACCAGACUUGGGCUUGGUUGAUCAUCCGGGGUUCUCCCCGGUGCACUCUUCCGGCCCAGGCCAGCAUCAGUUCGCCCUGGGGGACAAAGGCAUCGGGAACGUGGCUCUCUCCGGGGAGUGUUAUAGCCCGUUGCGUAAUACCCUGCGGCGGACUGAGGUUCGCGCAUUCGCAAGGAUGCUGGCGUAAUGGUCAUCAGUGACCCGUCUUGAAACACGGACCAAGGAGUCGUCUUCGUAUGCGAGUGUUCGGGUGUCAAACCCCUACGCGAAAUGAAAGUGAACGCAGGUGAGAGCUUCGGCGCAUCAUCGACCGAUCCUGAUGUUAUCGGAUGGAUUUGAGUAAGAGCAUACGGGGCCGGACCCGAAAGAAGGUGAACUAUGCCUGUGUAGGGUGAAGCCAGAGGAAACUCUGGUGGAGGCUCGCAGCGGUUCUGACGUGCAAAUCGAUCGUCAAACAUGGGCAUGGGGGCGAAAGACUAAUCGAACCUUCUAGUAGCUGGUUUCCGCCGAAG